rnacentral:lncRNA from 1 species
UUGCUUUCCCAUCAGCUUUUCUACAUUUACAAAACAUAAAUUAAUGCAGACCACAUUAACAUAUAGUUCUGCUAGAUCCAUUACAAAACCUGGAAUUCCUUCCAAGCCAAGCACUAGUGCUUUAUUUCAGAUUACUCUAAAUCAUGACUGGUCCUUUCUGCCUUUUGACUAAUGGGAUGUGAUACGGGAGAUGACCUUUGAUUGGGCAUGACCAGAUCUUUGUUUUGACUUUUGCUGUUGUUGGCUCUGUUUGCAGCAAGAAUCAACAUUGCUGCUAGCUUCUGCAGAAAACACUCUCCUCUAAUGCUUCUAUGGGUUGUUUCCACUGCAGAGCAAAGAGGAGACACCGUGCAAAAGGGUAUGGUUUCAGGUGGUAAAAGUGGAAGAAGUAGCUCUCAGAGAAGAGUAAGAAAAGCUGAUACACAAGAAAGACUCAAGCCCUUAAACGUGAACACCUGAUUUUCAGCUGUGCCUGAUUUCCAUCUUCCAGAAGCCCUUGGAGAUAAAGGUGCUCAAGAUCUCUGGAAAGAACUGCAGCAUUUCCAUUUUCUUUUAUAGGGUCAUAUUCCAAUUGCUGUAGCAUGGGACAAAAGGGCAAGACAACAGAGAUCACUUUUCUGUACUGCUGUGUAUUCAUUUUCCUCUCUGCAAGAAUCUGGCUUCAGCCCAUCAUAGCUGGCAGUGAUACACAAGAUGAGUUGACAGAGAAGGCAGAAGGCACAACAGAUGAAAGAGGCUGCAAGAAAGAGGAGAAAUUCCACAAUUUGGUCCAAAGAAACAAAGAUUUUAUUUGGUCUAAUGGCUGUUCCUUUUGUUGUCAGCUGGAUUGUGCCAGGGAUUUUGGUGAAUUGAAAAUACCUUGUGCUGUAUUUUUUGUUCCUGACAGAUACAGGGAUAAUGGGCUAUAG